GUUUGAGAUUAGAUUUACUAUAGGGAUAAUCUUUAAUUUUAAAGAAAUCUAUUCCUAAGUAAGUUGAAACUCUCGUGAUCUUAACUAUAAAUAAACUUUCAAUUCACAACAACUAACAAAAAAAAAAAAUCACAGAGAAAGCAAUCAACAGAGAAAAUCAGAGGGCAACACAGGGGAGAUAGGAGCAAAUCCCCAUUUUGUUCGGCCGCUCCCAAUUGCCAGUCACCACCAUCAGUCAUCCACUACCUAAACCAGCAACCGAAGACUACCACUACCUUUUCUUGCCCAAAUAGUAACCAUCGAUCCAAAAUCCAACAAAUAAUCAAAACACAAUAACCAGAGUCAAGCAUCAAAAAUAGCCACAGAGAUAGAAUCAACAAUCGACAACAAUCGAAAGACGAAAACAAAAGAUAUUCUUCUAGCAGCGGUUUUCGCUUUGGGAUUCACUUUUAGUUAGGCACCUUUUGGUAUUCUUUCAAACGGCAAAAGAAAGGGGAAGGAUUUGGAGGAGUUUUUCAAUGAUCCGAGUAGCUGGGAUUAGGAAUUCCAAGAAGUGGUAGAAUGGUCUUUGUGUUUAAAUUUGCAAGGUGUUGUGAGAUUCCAAAAAUAAUCAGGGAAGUGACAACUUAUCGGCAAAAAGGACGAGAAAACAGCAAAAACUGAGAGCUGUGUUGCUGAAAUGAGAAGUUGGGCUUUAUCCUUUUGCAAUAAAGAAUAAAGAAAGGGGAAGGAAUGUUCUAGAACUUGAAGAUCUGGUCAAGUCCAAAAAGCUUAUAUUUUGAGUGUAACCUGAGGAGGAUUCAAGAACCCACAAUUUGAAGCCUCGAACUCCAGCCCUACUUUUUAGCUUAGGCUGGCCUGCGUUGGAUUUGAGUUGUAACUGAAAUUUCAGGUUUUCAUCUUUUUUUUUUUUCCUUAUUUAAUUUUCUGGUUCUUUUUUUUUUUUAUCAUUUAUUUACUUUGUUAUACAUUUUAUAAAGCAUUCAUUCUUAAACUAGAAAAAUGUUUAGUUGCUUCACACUUAAAAAACUAAAAUAUGGUAGAAUAAAAUAUAUUUAUACUAGUAGUUUUCUUUAAUUAAAAUAUUAUCAGAAUCAUGUAUUUCAUAUAAAUCUUGAAGAUAGAUAACCUUUUUUUUUGAAUCAUGUAAUUUAAUUCAAACUUUAAUUAUAAGUGAAUUUUUUUCUAAGGAAUUUACUUUUCAGAAAUUUUUAGAUAAGCAAUUUCUUUUAAAUUCUCCAUGGUGGAAAGUUUAGUUGAAAACCUAAAAAAAUAAAUUUAAUUUCUCGUCAAUUGAACACCAAAUAUAAAAAAAAAAUGAAACAAAAACUCUAAAAUAAAUGGCAAUUAUCCUAAUGAGAUAAUUUUAGAAAUCAAGAAUGGUUGAUUUUUAGAGAUUUUUAAGUGAGAAGUUUUCUUAUAAAUUCUCUAGAAUGGUGGACAAUUUAUAUGAAAAUGUUAAUAAAAAUAAUUUAUGAAAAUAAGAAUAAAGAAUAUAAUCCUAAAAGAUAAAUAAAAUUACCAACUAGUAAAAUUUUAGAACUCAAGAAUUGUUGAAUUUCUAGAAUUUUUUUAAAUGAGAAGUUUUUUUUUAAUAUCUCAAACUGGAGAUUUAGAUAAAAUUUUCAAUAACAAUAUUGACAUUUGCUUUAAAAUCAUAAAAAAUUUUAAAAAUAAUUUUAGAAAGUUUUAGAAAUAACAAAAAUAUAUCUUAAAAAAUAGAAAAAUAAUAAAAUAAAUUUGAUGUUGGGAUUCUAAGAGAUCAAGAAUGGUUGAUCCUCUAAAAAAUUUCAAGAUGAGAAACUCUAGAUAAUAAAUUUAUUUCUAAAAUUUUAUCGUAAUGAUGGUAAAAUUAGAUGAAUUUAUAAUAAUUAUAUUUUUAAAUGUAGUAAAUAAAAAGGAUAGAAAUGAGAAGUUUUGGAAAUUGAUUUUUUUAAAAAAAUUUUAGGUAAAAAAAGUAUUUCUAAAAGUUUUUAAAAUGGUGAAAAAUUUAGAUUUGUCUCCAUAGAAUAGAAAUUUAGAUACAAAAAAUUUACACAAAAUAAAAAGAAUAAAUUUUGUGGAUGAAAUUUCUAAUAAUUACAAAUGGAUGAUUAUUUAAACAAUUUCUAGGUGAAAAAAUAUUUCUAAUUUUGACCUAAAUGAUGGAAGAAUUAUAUAUAUUUUCAAUAAAAGUAAAAUAAAAUAUAAAUGAUUAAGUUUUUUUUUUUAUGACAGAACCUCUUCAAAAAAAUAAAUGUGAUUUUUAAAUACUCCUGUUGAGGAAGUAUUUUUUAAGAAUUCUGCCAAAUUAAUGAAAAAAUUUUAAAAAUUAUUUUUAAUAUUUAAAUAUUAAAGUUUAAUAAAAAAUCAUUAGAACCAAUAAUCCUUAAGAUAAUUUAAAAUUAAAUGGUAUCAUCUUAGGAUGGGAGUUAUGAGGAUGCUAUAAUUUUUUUCGUAUGUAAUCGAACUCUCGAACCCUAUUCUAAUUAGUAAACCAAAACAUUUUUUUAAAGACCCUUAGUCAAGUUUAAAACAUCCUUAAAAUGAAUAUAAAUAGAUUCACCAAAGUGAUCAAUCAUAUUUAAUCAAAAAAUAUUGAUGAUGACUCUUUUAGUUGUAUUUAGCGAUAAAUUUACGAAUUUAUAUAUUAUGACACUUGGUAAAUAAUCUUUAAAUCCAAUAUAAAUCCCAGACUUUGGAAUGGGAAAGCUUCGCUUCAUUCUAAACUUUUAUAUAAAAAACAUUUUGUGGAACUAAUAUGUGACUUAUUGCACAUUUUGAAAGUUUGGGGGUACAUUAUACAAUUUUUUAGUUUAUAUAUCAAUUUAUACGUUUUAAUACAUAGUUCAUGAACUAUACUAGUAAUUAAUUCAUUCCAAAAAGUGUCUAUUUCCCUUUUAAGAGCUCCAAAUUGGUGUUGGGCAGGGUAGGUUUAAGUUCCUUACCUCUGUCUAAAAUGGCACAGGCCAGAUUUGCUUGCCAGUCGGAAAAACCAACAGGGCAAUAAAAGAAGAAAAAAAAGGAAAAAAGAAAAAGAAAAAAAAAAGAAAACGAAAUCUAAUGUUUUUAAACAAUGGGGUCGGUAUGAUGAAUACAUUGCUUCAGCUUUAGACAAGUAUCCAUAUUGCAAUGAUGCUUUCUAAGGACAAGACUAAAGUCGCAAUGAAUUUUUUUUUAUAUGUCAACACAAAUGGACUGGAAAUCUUGAUGGAUGGUAAACCUUCCGUAACUUUUCCCAUAUAGCUUAGAGAUGAGAAUUGUCCUUGGGUGUUAAGUUCUUCAAUCUUUGCUAUCCAAACGUUUGAUUGAGAAAAUCAGUGUUUAUCUUCUUUUUUUUUUUUUACCGAAAAGGAGUUCCUUCAAAGGUUUGUGACCCCUUAUGAGGAUCUUUCUUUAUUAAAGGUAUAUGAGGAGAAGCUAGGCCUUUCAAGAUAGAUUGUACAUAAGCUGAAUAAGUGAAUUUUCAUAUCAUUUUUUUAAAGGCUUAAUCUCAGUGAUAAUUUUUCUUUUCAUGCCUUUGAAAUUCAAAAAGAAAAUUGUGGGCUGAAAAAGAACAAAGUGAUAUGCAUCUGUCUUCCAUUUCGGGAUUUUAAUGUUAUGAUCUUAUUUUGUAUGAGCUGCAGCCACUGCUUUUUUAGUUUGAUCAAGUCCACUAAUGCAUUAUCCUUUUUGGCCUACAUGUAAUAUGAUGGAGAUUCAAGAUAAAACGAAAAAGUAUGAAAUAAUUUACCUUUUUUGAGUUAGUUUUUUAUACUGAAUAAAUGACCAGAGUAACUGUUUGAAGAGGAAAAACACUAUUUCCUUGUCAGAAGGGCAGAAACUGAAUUUUGAGUGCUGCAAAAACUAAAUUAUCAAAAGCACAAAUUAUUAUCAUCCUGAUUCCAUGUCUAUCCAGGGGUUUUCAGAACCAUGAAUUCUUCAUUAGACAUUCCAGAUGGCAACCUCAAAAACCCAUCUUAUAGUUUCCAUUCUAGUGUCCAAGUCCCUGCCACCGUGCAUAUAAGGUCUCUUUUUUUUUUUGCAUUUGGGAUAAGAGAAGGAGUUGUAAGUACUGAAAUUCAAACCACAAACCUAUUAGAUGUCAUUUUUUGAGGAUAACUGCAUGAACCAUCUACCAGCUUCUAUAUAAGGUCUUAUUUGUUCCAAAGCUUUUCAAAGAAAGGCUGACAUUAGACAUUUGUAAAUUGGGUGGAGUAGCAACUGAUAUUAAAAACGGGUUGCACUUUCCACCAUGGUGGCUAUGGAGCUGACCAUCAUUCUUUAAUAGCACUGAGGAGAGCAUUGCACAUUUUACAACAUAAUGUGAUGGAAAUAUUCAUUUCUAUGGAGAUGUAAAUCCAAACUGUGGUGCCUUGUGCUAGUUCAGUAAUGUCUCCAUUCUUUUAGUCCUAUGGGAUUAUGCGAAGGGAGAUGGGCUUGUGAUAGAACGAGAGGAUGAUUUCCAAGGACAUGCAUGCUCUACUUGGUUCAGAAAAAAAGGAGAUGAAGGGAGACAUCCCUGUGUUUUUAAAAUUUUGAUGUAAGUUCUUUAUUACUUAAUUAUCUGCUACUGGUUCUUCAUUGUUUUAGGGCAAAGAAUUAAAUCAUGAGAUAUAUCACCUGUAAUUAUUGCAUUAUAAUUCAAUGAUGAUUUAAACUCAAAUUAACUCACACUCGAAAUGGCUAGACUUUAAAAUAAAUGGUUAGAAUUAAAUUGGAA
rnacentral:lncRNA from 1 species